AUAAUAGGUGGUUUGUAGGAGAAGGCACUGCGUGAGGAAUGGGGAUCAAUUAGUCGCGGCCAUGGCAAUUGCAGUGUUUUUCUCGGACCAGGUCAGCAUGCAUAGCACUCGGUUCGCUUUUUGACAAAUUAACCAUCAGGUCAGCAGAACUGUUCGGCCGGUUGCUGCAUCGCAUUCGCAUCCACCAUCGUCAGCUUAGUUAUCUCCAGUCCACUUCUCCAGGGAGAUACGGCUCGAAAUGCUCGAUGAAUGACGAUGGAGUGGGAGAUGUUUGGUCCAAAUAAAAUGAUGGGCCACGAAGCAAGCUACAAGGCCCGACUGCACAUGGGCUUUAGUCCUCGCACCCCGAGAAACGAAGCCUCUCCUCCUUGGCCUUGAGCCCUUGAGCAUUCAUCGUCCGACUCCGACGGCUUCUAUUGCAGUUGCAGGUUGGCGAAUCACGAACUUCAUAUCAAACCGACAAAUUGGUUGGAGCAAAUGUUGUUUAGCUUUUGUGAGGAAAGAGGCGGCGGCGGCGGCGGUGAUUGUUUAGCAGGAGAAGAUCCCCUUCUGCACUCAUCGAACGGCCGCCGCCACCUAGAUCAGUUGGGAGGUACGAUCGAUUUAUUUACCUUCGCAGCUUAGCAGCUGAUUUACGAUUUAUCUGCCUUGUCAUCGAAGAGCGGUCGUGAUACCUUAUUGGAUUUGCGUGUUGGGAGUAAAUCUGUCCCAUUCCCGCUUCAUAGCCGCAUGAAACGAAACAUUGAAACCAUUAUGUAUAAUCCAACAAGGACACGGUGCAGGUGUUUUGUACGAUGCAUAUGCAUCCGUCCGUCCCUUAUGUUUUGUGCACCAGUUGCUGUCUUGUAGAUUCAUGAUUUGGCAGCAGGGUGUAGGCACGCUUAGCUGAUGGCAAAACAUUCCUGGGCAUUUGCCAAUCCCAGCAACAAUCACUUGUGACAAAAAUCGUUGUAUUUAUAUGCUUGUGUACAGAAUCACAAUAAGGUAUAGCCGGAGGAGAACACUAGACUCUCUCAAAUACACUCUACCAAUCUACAUGCCCUACUUAUUGUAAUUUCAUCACUUAUUUCGCUGAAUCGUGAUGGGCCGACAGCGCAGCUGUUCCGAGGAUCACCCAGGUCCUGCCAUGGAGGAUAUGUCGAUGCUGCUGGUCUUUGGAAUAACUCAUUCGGUUUCACUUCCUCUCUUUGCUGCUAUCUUGGCAGAAGGAGCCAAUCUCAAGCUUAUAAGCUUGUCACUCUUGAUGAAUCAAGUCAGAUUUAAUUUGCAAGGUCUUUUGCUAACUCUUCCUAGGUCCAGUUGAACCCAUUCAAGUCAAUUUUCUUGCAGUUCUGUGGCCCAUCAGUGGUAUCAUUGAUGUUCAGAUCCAGUUUUGCUGCCUUCCGUGUCAUACUAAAACUUCCUCUCUCACGCCUGUCUAGUUGGCCUGGAGGCGUCAUGCUUAGCUUGUCAAGAAACAAAUCCUCUCUUCCUCUUUCUUUCUCUUGUAUAUCAAAGGUCAUGCCUCCUAUCUCCUUUCCUCUGUGAGCGGAAAGACUGAUUGACAGGAUAUCUUGAUCUUUCUGUGAGCCGUCACAGGCAGUUAAGCAGCUGUCAACUGACCCAUCGCCAAGUUGGAUGGUAUGGCCUUGUAGAAUUUGGGAACCAUCAAUCUCCUCAAAGCCUGUAAAUGCAUGCUGGAGGCAUUCUGUCGAUACUUUUGAGACUAAUUCUGACAGUUGCAUCUUCGCGGUUUCUACACCGACUGACCCUGCAUUCUGCUUUGAAAGUGUCUCCUGUGCCUUUUCUAGCACAGAUUGUAGGUACUUCCCUUGUGCUUCAAUGCGGAGUUGCAAAUGUCUUUGUACCUGUUGAAAGGCGUCGUUUAUGUGUAAGGUUUAAGUGGCUAGCUGGUGAUCCAUUUCCUUCAAGUGGUUUGUCCAUUGCCAUGGUGCAACCAAUCACUGAAGAGCAGAAAGGGCAUUCAGUAUUAAGCUUAAUUGGAGGCCGAUAACUGCUAGUUUAUCAGUCCUUAGUUUUUGGUGAAGGGUUGCUCGUCACACAAUGGUGUUAUAUUCCUUGGGGGAAUGCUCUAACAAACUAUGGCUACUCAUGCCAAGAUGUUAUGCAGAGUCUGGUUUUAUAAGGAAGACAAGUGAGGAGAGAAUUUCGAAUCGUUAGAACAAACACUCAAGCCUGGACCAAUCCUGGCAGCAACUGAAAAGAGGGAAACGGAAAGUGGGUAGACGAAUCCGAUGGGCUGUGCAUCUGUAUGGAGUCCUCUGAGUUUGGCUACUAUCUGUUCUACAUAAGGCGCAGAAAGUUGGGGCUUAAAAAUGACGGCGAGCGCGCACGCGAUCCCGCGGGAAGGGAAUAAGGAAAAGCGAUGUUGACAAAGCUGGAUGGGAAUCCUGCGCUUUUUUGGAGGCGAAGAUGAGAAGGAAUAUAUCGCCUGUGUCGACCUCGCCGGCCUGCUUCUUCUGUUCCGUGGCUUGGUUGUGCUCCCGCUGGAUCGUGCCAGCCGCCAGCAGGAUGAUGAGCACGUGUGAACCCUGGCGUGGGUAUGUUGUUGUUUGCUCUGGGAGUGUUUUGCUCAGUAGUCGUUCUUUGUUUAUUUGUACAAACUCGUCCAUUUGUGUCGGUUGCAGAAAUACGAAAACACUUCAAAUGGUACGAAUUGGAAUUUGGAAAGUACAGAGUAUAGACCGCUGGAUAAGCUGUUUUUAUUGUUUGGCGUAAUGAACUGGUGAUCCAUAUGUUCGCCUUAAAAAAAAAGACCUGAUGGUUCAAGUAUC